UAAUACACAAUCAAACUACGAAUUGUUCGCCAACAACUACGAGUAAUAACUUAAAACUUAAAAGACUUGACGGUACUUCACCCCGACCUAGAGGGGCCUGUCUAAUAACCGACAACCCACGAUUAACCCAGCCCUUUCUCGCCCAACAGUCUAUAUACCGCCGUCGCCAGCUUACCUUGUAAGAGAAAUAAAGUGAGCUAAACAGCACCCACUAACACGACAGGUCGAGGUGUAACCAAUGAAAGGGCCUAAGAUGGGCUACAUUCUCCACCCGAGAACACGAACAACACCAUGAAACAGGUGUUUGAAGGCGGAUUUAGCAGUAAGACAGGAAUAAAAUACCCAACUGAACAUAACGCAAUGAAGUGCGUACACACCGCCCGUCAUCCCUGCCACACG
rnacentral:rRNA from 1 species